rnacentral:rRNA from 1 species
UACGUAGGGGGCAAGCGUUGUCCGGAAUUACUGGGCGUAAAGCGUGCGCAGGCGGUUUUGUAAGCCAGAUGUGAAAUCCCCGGGCUUAACCUGGGAAUGGCAUUUGGGACUGCAAGGCUUGAGUGCGGCAGAGGAGACUGGAAUUCCUGGUGUAGCAGUGAAAUGCGUAGAUAUCAGGAGGAAUACCGAUGGCGAAGGCAGGUCUCUGGGCUGACACUGACGCUCAUGCACGAAAGCGUGGGGAGCAAACAGG